GGGGAUGUUCUGGUUUUGACAGCAUCUGACAUUGGACAGUAAGCACGUCGGGCGUCGGUGGUUUGCCCGUUAAUCUCAGCCACCGAACAAUUAGUUGGCAACAACAAUUAUGCACUCGCUGCGUAAUCUACCAAGUAGAUUAGCUUAAUCGCCGGCCGCCAAGGCUGCGGUCGCGACGAGUAUCCCUCCGGGCUUUAGGCCGGUUAUGUCCGGAAUAUGGGGUAUCAUCCAAACCGGAUGCACAGGGGGACUCCUUUAAACCCUGCCAAGACUCAAAGGAUAAGCUGGCACUGGCCUGUCUUCCGGCAUCUGCCAGCCGACAACCAAAGAAAGACUAAACGUGUAGAAAGCUGCCUGGUGCGGUGUUUGGACGGCGGUUCGAGUCCGCCCAUCUCCACCA
rnacentral:tmRNA from 2 species